rnacentral:rRNA from 1 species
UACGUAGGGUGCGAGCGUUGUCCGGAAUUAUUGGGCGUAAAGGGCGCGUAGGCGGUGCGGUAAGUCACCUGUGAAACCUCUAGGCUUAACCUAGAGCCUGCAGGCGAAACUGCCGUGCUGGAGUGUGGGAGAGGUGCGUGGAAUUCCCGGUGUAGCGGUGAAAUGCGUAGAUAUCGUAAGGAAGACCAGUGGCGAAGGCGGGUCACUGGACAGUUCCUGACGCUGAGGCACGAAGGUCAGGGGAGCAAACGGG